rnacentral:rRNA from 1 species
CUGAACCAGCCAAGUAGCGUGAAGGAUGACUGCCCUAUGGGUUGUAAACUUCUUUUAUACGGGAAUAAAGUGAGCCACGUGUGGCUUUUUGUAUGUACCGUAUGAAUAAGGAUCGGCUAACUCCGUGCCAGCAGCCGCGGUAAUACGGAGGAUCCGAGCGUUAUCCGGAUUUAUUGGGUUUAAAGGGAGCGUAGGUGGAUUGUUAAGUCAGUUGUGAAAGUUUGCGG